rnacentral:ncRNA from 1 species
UAGCCUUCGCGCAUUCGAGGUUCUUCAUGGCGCGGUUGUCGUGAAGCUAAGAGGGAACAGGGUCGAUGCCCUGGCUGCCCCCGCAACUGUGAACGGUCUCAAACCCUUCGAUACACCACUGCCCAGGGCGGGAAGGUGAAGGGCGCACCCUGUGCAGACCGUGAGCCAGGAGACCUGCCUCGUUUCGUCAGCCAACU